GCAUGUAGCACAGUGAUAGUGUAUUCGCUUCAUAAGUGAAUGGUCAUGAGUUUGAUUCUCGCUGUGAGCA
rnacentral:tRNA from 1 species